UCCCAGACUCCUACGGGAGGCAGCAGUGAGGGAUAUUGGGCAAUGGGGGAAACCCUGACCCAGCGACGCCGCGUGAGGGAAGACGGUCUUCGGAUUGUAAACCUCUGUCUUUGGGGACGAAAAAGGACGGUACCCAAGGAGGAAGCUCCGGCUAACUACGUGCCAGCAGCCGCGGUAAUACGUAGGGGGCAAGCGUUAUCCGGAUUUACUGGGUGUAAAGGGGGCGCAGACGGCGAUGCAAGCCAGGAGUGAAAGCCCGGGGCCCAACCCCGGGACUGCUCUUGGAACUGCGUGGCUGGAGUGCAGGAGGGGCAGGCGGAAUUCCUGGUGUAGCGGUGAAAUGCGUAGAUAUCAGGAGGAACACCGGCGGCGAAGGCGGCCUGCUGGACUGCAACUGACGUUGAGACCCGAAAGCGUGGGGAGCAAACAGGAUUAGAUACCCGAGUAC
rnacentral:rRNA from 1 species